GGGGAAACGACAUCGAAAGCUUGCUUUUGAUGGGCGUCGACCGGCGCACGAGUGAGUAACGCGUAUCCAACCUGCCCAUCACUUGGGAAUAACCUUGCGAAAGUAAGACUAAUACCCAAUGAUAUCCCACGAAGGCAUCCGAAUGGGAUUAAAGAUUUAUCGGUGAUGGAUGGGGAUGCGUCUGAUUAGCUUGUUGGCGGGGUAACGGCCCACCAAGGCAACGAUCAGUAGGGGUUCUGAGAGGAAGGUCCCCCACAUUGGAACUGAGACACGGUCCAAACUCCUACGGGAGGCAGCAGUGAGGAAUAUUGGUCAAUGGGCGAGAGCCUGAACCAGCCAAGUAGCGUGCAGGAUGACGGCCCUAUGGGUUGUAAACUGCUUUUAUAAGGGAAUAAAGUGAGUCUCGUGAGACUUUUUGCAUGUACCUUAUGAAUAAGGACCGGCUAAUUCCGUGCCAGCAGCCGCGGUAAUACGGAAGGUCCGGGCGUUAUCCGGAUUUAUUGGGUUUAAAGGGAGCGUAGGCCGGAGAUUAAGCGUGUUGUGAAAUGUAGAGGCUCAACCUCUGCACUGCAGCGCGAACUGGUCUUCUUGAGUACGCACAACGUGGGCGGAAUUCGUGGUGUAGCGGUGAAAUGCUUAGAUAUCACGAAGAACUCCGAUUGCGAAGGCAGCUCACGGGAGCGCAACUGACGCUGAAGCUCGAAAGUGCGGGUAUCGAACGGGAUUAGAUACCCUGGUAGUCCGCACGGUAAACGAUGGAUGCCCGCUGUUGGCCUGAAUAGGUCAGCGGCCAAGCGAAAGCAUUAAGCAUCCCACCUGGGGAGUACGCCGGCAACGGUGCAACUCAAAGGA
rnacentral:rRNA from 1 species